rnacentral:tRNA from 1 species
AGGGAUAUAACUGGUAGAGUGUCACCUUGACGUGGUGGAAGUCAUCAGUUCGAGCCUGAUUGUCCCUA